rnacentral:rRNA from 1 species
GACGAACGCUGGCGGCGUGCUUAACACAUGCAAGUCGAACGGAAAGGCCCUGCUUUUGUGGGGUGCUCGAGUGGCGAACGGGUAAGUAACACGUGAGUAACCUGCCCUUGACUUUGGGAUAACUUCAGGAAACUGGGGCUAAUACCGGAUAGGAGCUCCUGCUGCAUGGUGGGGGUUGGAAAGUUUCGGCGGUUGGGGAUGGACUCGCGGCUUAUCAGCUUGUUGGUGGGGUAGUGGCUUACCAAGGCUUUGACGGGUAGCCGGCCUGAGAGGGUGACCGGCCACAUUGGGACUGAGAUACGGCCCAGACCCCUACGGGAGGCAGCAGUGGGGAAUAUUGCACAAUGGGCGGAAGCCUGAUGCAGCAACGCCGCGUGCGGGAUGACGGCCUUCGGGUUGUAAACCGCUUUCGCCUGUGACGAAGCGUGAGUGACGGUAAUGGGUAAAGAAGCACCGGCUAACUACGUG